rnacentral:lncRNA from 1 species
AAGAAGAGAUGGGAGGCGAAGACGGCGGCGGCGGCGGCGGUGUCUGUGUCGUUUUCCGUUUCUGUGGUGGAGAGAUCGGAAGACUUAAUGGAGCAGGAGGUGGUACGUGGCGGAGUCGAAGAAGGCGUGGUCUUCGUCGUAGAGGGAGUUCAUCACCCUGAAGGCGGUCGAGGCGGUGGAGGUUGUUGUUCGACGGGAGGUGGUUUGAUAGUCAAGGGUGGCGGCUUGUCCUUUGGGGCUCUGUCAUCCCUUCCGCUUGGCAUUCUGUGAGAGAGAGAGAGAGAGAGAAAUAAAAAGAGGAAGAAGAAGAGUGGGAGAUUUAGAGCAUCUGCUGCCGUAUAUGAUAAAAGAAUGGAGACGUCUGGAAUACACCGGAGUGUCCGUGCUCCGGAUAUGUUUUCUGACAAAAGUAAAAAGUAAAUAAACCUGUUUACCCAUCACGGAGUUGCUAGGCGCGUCGGUAUUAGUUUUAAUUUUUUUUGUUAUUGUUUU